CCUGCCYGAUUUGKUUGUUGNUYCUGAUGAGUGCNUUUUUCCCUGKCCGAUUUGUUUGUUGNUKCUGAUGAGUGCUGNUUUCCCUGCCCGAUGNUUCUGUUGUUYCUGAUGAGUGCUGNUUUCCCUGCCSAAUGAUUCUGWUUAGUGCUGCUUUCCCUGWCCGAUGUCUCUGUUGASCGCUGCWUKCCCUGUCCGAUGUGUCUGWAUUUUCUGCUGAGUGCUGCUUUCCCUGCCCGAUUUGUUUGUUGUUUCUGAUGAGUGCUUUUWUCCCUGUCCGAUUUGUUUGUUGUUUCUGAUGAGUGCUGUUUUCCCUGCCCAAUGAUUCUGUUUAGUGCUGCUUUCCCUGUCCGAUGUUUCUGUUGAGCGCUGCUUUCCCUGUCCGAUGUGUCUGUAUUUUCUGCUGAGUGCUGCUUUCCCUGCCCGAUUUGUUUGUUGUUUCUGAUGAGUGCUUUUUUCCCUGUCCGAUUUGUUUGUUGUUUCUGAUGAGUGCUGUUUUCCCUGCCCGAUGUUUCUGUUGUUUCUGAUGAGUGCUGUUUUCCCUGCCCGAUGUUUCUGUUCAGUGCUGCUUUCCCUGUCCGUC
rnacentral:sRNA from 1 species